rnacentral:rRNA from 1 species
GACGAACGCUGGCGGCGUGCUUAACACAUGCAAGUCGAACGGUAAGGCCCUUCGGGGUACACGAGUGGCGAACGGGUGAGUAACACGUGGGUGAUCUGCCCUGCACUUCGGGAUAAGCCUGGGAAACUGGGUCUAAUACCGGAUAGGACUCCUGGCUUCAUGGUUGGGGGUGGUAAAGCUUUUGCGGUGUGGGAUGGGCCCGCGGCCUAUCAGCUUGUUGGUGGGGUAAUGGCCUACCAAGGCGACGACGGGUAGGCCGGCCUGAGAGGGUGACCGGCCACACUGGGACUGAGAUACGGCCCAGACUCCUACGGGAGGCAGCAGUGGGGAAUAUUGCACAAUGGGCGCAAGCCUGAUGCAGCGACGCCGCGUGAGGGAUGACGGCCUCGGUUGGU